CAUCGGCCGUCGAAAGAGCUCUACAACGAGCUAGCACUCGUGAGGAGUCGAUCAGAUCGGGAGCUUCGUGUGGAUGAUCCACAGAGGCCAGACAUGCUGUGUGGCUGUAUCACGAUGAUCAGACUCUUCCGACGGUGAUCAUAUUGCGGUGAUCUACUACCCAUACAAAAAUAUUAUGUUCUGAACACAUUACAGUAAAGUGUUUACUGUUCAAAUUGAAAUUUUAAAUUUAAAUGCAUGCUUGCUAUAUAUCAUAUUUAGAUCCUAGUAUAGGAUAAAUUCUUAUUAAUUAAUUAGAUUAAUUAAUAAUUUUCAUUGUAAAAUAGUGAUUUUGAAAAAAUUUUAAAAUUACCAUUUUACCCCUGCACUGAAUUUUCCCCACACAUCAUCAUUGAACG
rnacentral:lncRNA from 1 species